AUUGAACGCUGGCGGCAUGCCUUACACAUGCAAGUCGAACGGCAGCACGGGGCAACCUGGUGGCGAGUGGCGAACGGGUGAGUAAUGUAUCGGAACGUACCAUUGAGUGGGGGAUAACGUAGCGAGAGUUACGCUAAUACCGCAUAUACCCCGAGGGGGAAAGCAGGGGAUCGCAAGACCUUGUGCUCUUUGAGCGGCCGAUAUCAGAUUAGCUAGUUGGUGGGGUAAAGGCUCACCAAGGCGACGAUCUGUAGCGGGUCUGAGAGGAUGAUCCGCCAAACUGGAACUGAGACACGGCCCAGACGCCGACGGGAGGCAGCGGUGGGGAGUUUUGGACAAUGGGAGCAAGCCUGAUCCAGCCGUGCCGCGUGAGUGAAGAAGGCCUUCGGGUUGUAAAGCUCUUUCGGCCGGGAAGAAAUCGGUUGGGUUAAUACCCCAACUGGAUGACGGUACCGGAAUAAGAAGCACCGGCUAACUACGUGCCAGCCGCCGCAGUAAUAC
rnacentral:rRNA from 1 species